GACGAACGCUGGCGGCGUGCCUAAUACAUGCAAGUUGAGCGCUGAAGGUUGGUACUUGUACCAACUGGAUGAGCAGCGAACGGGUGAGUAACGCGUGGGGAAUCUGCCUUUGAGCGGGGGACAACAUUUGGAAACGAAUGCUAAUACCGCAUAAAAACUUUAAACACAAGUUUUAAGUUUGAAAGAUGCAAUUGCAUCACUCAAAGAUGAUCCCGCGUUGUAUUAGCUAGUUGGUGAGGUAAAGGCUCACCAAGGCGAUGAUACAUAGCCGACCUGAGAGGGUGCUCGGCCACAUUGGGACUGAGACACGGCCCAAACUCCUACGGGAGGCAGCAGUAGGGAAUCUUCGGCAAUGGACGAAAGUCUGACCGAGCAACGCCGCGUGAGUGAAGAAGGUUGUCGGAUCGUAAAACUCUGUUGGUAGAGAAGAACGUUGGUGAGAGUGGAAAGCUCAUCAAGUGACGGUAACUACCCAGAAAGGGACGGCUAACUACGUG
rnacentral:rRNA from 1 species